CGGAUUGCAGGCUGNAACCCGCCCUGCAUGAAGUUGGAAUCACUAGUAAUCGCGGAUCAGCAUGCUGCGGUGAAUGCGUUCUCGGGCCUUGUACACACCGCCCGUCACACCAUGAGAGUCGGGAACACCCGAAGUCCGUAGCCUAACCGCAAGGGGGGCGCGGCCGAAGGUGGGCUCGAUAAUUGGGGUGAAGUCGUAACAAGGUACC
rnacentral:rRNA from 1 species